AAUUGAAGCACUGCAGCUCACUUUAUGUUUCAUUUUGUUUAUAGGUGCUAUUGAUACUAGCAAAAUCAUCUGUGCUUCUUCUUUCUCCAUGUCAUUGUAUUUGCAAUCCUCACCAAUUGCCUUUGCCUAGCAUUGCCUUGGAUCCUGUUAGGGGUUUUCAUCCACUGUCAAUCUGGUGAAAAUUUUCUGUUUUAUGAGUGGCCCUUACCUUUUUGUUUGCCUCUAAUUGUAGGACUACAGAAGGACUCAUCCA
rnacentral:misc_RNA from 1 species